UACGUAGGGGCCUAGCGUUGUCCGGAUUUAUUGGGCGUAAAGAGCGUGUAGGCGGCCAGGUAGGUCCGUUGUGAAAACUCGAGGCUCAACCUCGAGACGUCGAUGGAAACCAUCUGGCUAGAGUCCGGAAGAGGAGAGUGGAAUUCCUGGUGUAGCGGUGAAAUGCGCAGAUAUCAGGAAGAACACCUAUGGCGAAGGCAGCUCUCUGGGACGGUACUGACGCUGAGACGCGAAAGCGUGGGGAGCGAACAGG
rnacentral:rRNA from 1 species